UACGGGGGGAGCAAGCGUUGUUCGGAUUUACUGGGCGUAAAGGGCGCGUAGGCGGCGUGACAAGUCACUUGUGAAAUCUCCGGGCUUAACUCGGAACGGUCAAGUGAUACUGUCGUGCUAGAGUACAGAAGGGGCAACUGGGAAUUCUCGGUGUAGCGGUGAAAUGCGUAGAUAUCGAGAGGAACACCUGCGGCGAAGGCGGGUUGCUGGGCUGAUACUGACGCUGAGGCGCGAAAGCUAGGGGAGCGAACGGG
rnacentral:rRNA from 1 species